UAGGGAAUUUUCGUCAAUGGGCGCAAGCCUGAACGAGCAAUGCCGCGUGAACGAGGAAGGUCUUCGGAUCGUAAAGUUCUGUUGAAGGGGAAAAAGAAGCGGAGAGAGGAAAUGGUCUCCCGAUUGAUAUUACCCUUCGAGGAAGUCACGGCUAACUACGUGCC
rnacentral:rRNA from 1 species